rnacentral:rRNA from 1 species
GAGCGAACGCUGGCGGCAGGCUUAACACAUGCAAGUCGAGCGGGCGUAGCAAUACGUCAGCGGCAGACGGGUGAGUAACGCGUGGGAACGUACCUUUUGGUUCGGAACAACCCAGGGAAACUUGUGCUAAUACCGGAUAAGCCCUUACGGGGAAAGAUUUAUCGCCGAAAGAUCGGCCCGCGUCUGAUUAGCUAGUUGGUGAGGUAACGGCUCACCAAGGCGACGAUCAGUAGCUGGUCUGAGAGGAUGAUCAGCCACAUUGGGACUGAGACACGGCCCAAACUCCUACGGGAGGCAGCAGUGGGGAAUAUUGGACAAUGGGCGCAAGCCUGAUCCAGCCAUGCCGCGUGAGUGAUGAAGGCCCUAGGGUUGUAAAGCUCUUUUGUGCGGAAGAUAAUGACGGUACC